UACGUAGGGGGCAAGCGUUGUCCGGAAUCAUUGGGCGUAAAGAGCGCGUAGGCGGUCCGGUAAGUCCGCUCUGAAAGUCCGGGGCUCAACCCCGGGAGGCGGGCGGAUACUGUCGGGCUAGAGUCCGGAAGAGGCGAGUGGAAUUCCUGGUGUAGCGGUGAAAUGCGCAGACAUCAGGAGGAACACCAAUGGCGAAGGCAGCUCGCUGGGACGGUACUGACGCUGAGGCGCGAAAGCGUGGGGAGCAAACAGG
rnacentral:rRNA from 1 species